rnacentral:rRNA from 1 species
UACGUAGGGUGCGAGCGUUGUCCGGAAUUAUUGGGCGUAAAGAGCUCGUAGGCGGUUUGUUGCGUCGGCCGUGAAAACCUGCAGCUUAACUGUGGGCCUGCGGUCGAUACGGGCAGACUUGAGUUCGGUAGGGGAGACUGGAAUUUACGGUGUAGCGGUGAAAUGCGUAGAUAUCGUAAGGAAGACCAGUGGCGAAGGCGGGUCUCUGGACAGUUCCUGACGCUGAGGCACGAAGGUCAGGGGAGCAAACGGG